rnacentral:rRNA from 1 species
AGUUUGAUCCUGGCUCGAAUGAACGCUGGCGGCAGGCCUAACACAUGCAAGUCGAACGGAGUUAUAUUGUAGCUUGCUAUGGUAUAACUUAGUGGCAGACGGGUGAGUAAUGUAUAGGAAUCUACCUAGUAGUACGGAAUAAUUGUUGGAAACGGCAACUAAUACCGUAUACGCCCUACGGGGGAAAAAUUUAUUGCUAUUAGAUGAGCCUAUAUUAGAUUAGCUAGUUGGUGGAGUAAUAGCCUACCAAGGCAAUGAUCUAUAGCUGAUCUGAGAGGAUGAUCAGCCACACUGGAACUGAGAUACGGUCCAGACUCCUACGGGAGGCAGCAGUGGGGAAUAUUGGACAAUGGGCGAAAGCCUGAUCCAGCCAUGCCGCAUGAGUGAAGAAGGCCUUUGGGUUGUAAAGCUCUUUUAGUGAGGAAGAUAAUGACGGUACUCACAGAAGAAGUCCUGGCUAACUCCGUGCCAGCAGCCGCGGUAAUACGGAGAGGGCUAGCGUUAUUCGGAAUUAUUGGGCGUAAAGGGCGCGUAGGCGGAUUAGUAAGUUAAAAGUGAAAUCCCAAGGCUCAACCUUGGAAUUGCUUUUAAAACUGCUAAUCUAGAGAUUGAAAGAGGAUAGAGGAAUUCCUAGUGUAGAGGUGAAAUUCGUAAAUAUUAGGAGGAACACCAGUGGCGAAGGCGUCUAUCUGGUUCAAAUCUGACGCUGAGGCGCGAAGGCGUGGGGAGCAAACAGGAUUAGAUACCCUGGUAGUCCACGCUGUAAACGAUGAAUGUUAAAUAUGGGAAGUUUUACUUUCUGUAUUACAGCUAACGCGUUAAACAUUCCGCCUGGGGACUACGGU